rnacentral:rRNA from 1 species
UAAUCGAAAAAUACGAACUACUGUUUAAAACUCAAAGAUUUUGGCGGUGUCUUAUCGAAUCAGGGGAACCUGUCUCAUAACUCGAUAAUCCACGAAUACCUUACCCUCUAUUGAUAUUACAGCAUGUGUACUGCCGUCGUAAGCACACCUCUAAAAGUGUUAAGUGUGCAUCUAUGUAAUCACAUAUACGUCAGGUCAAAGUGCAGCUAAUAAGAGGGUGAUGAUGGGUUACACCCCUAAUAAGGAUACGGAAUACAAUCUAAAUAAUUAUAUAAAGGUGGACUUGAACGUAAUUAUGACCUAAGUCAAAAUGAAUACGAAUCUAAGACAUGCACACAUCGCCCGUCACUCUCACCAAAAGGCG